GGAUAGGCUCCAGCACCCCCGCGACCCUCGUGAGGAAAAAGCAGUAUAAAAUGAAUGAAUGAAUGAAUGAAUGAAUGAUCCUGUAGCGUUUAUGUGAUUACAGCAUUUUCCGUUUCAUUUAUGAUGUUGGCGUGCUUGUAUUUGGGAUCGUUCCUCUGUUCGGAGCGGUAAACCACACAUAUUUGAUUGAAAUAUGAAUCUGCCAUGGUCUUACGGUGCUGCAAUCAUUAUCUGCUACUACUACUACCGUGUUAUAUUAUUGACUUCUUAGAUCGAGUUAUCCUCACUCAGUGUUGAUAAAGUGCUUUCUGGAACAAACUAUUUGAGGUAUGCAGGUUUUAAAACUACUUCACAAGUAUGUAGAAGUUCCAGUAACACUGUUUGUAAUGGUUAAGUAUCAGUUGUACUUGUUCUAACCCCGGUUAUUUAUUUAUUUUUUUUUACACUGUUGAGCAUGUUCAAGCAUUAGCAUUGUAGUUUGGCAUUAUUCUAUCCAUAACCAAAAGCCUCUAUUCCACUCACAGCUUUAGAAAGUUUGUUCCUGCAAAAAUAGUGAAUCAGUAACGUACAUAUAUAUAUUCACAGUUAUGAAAUAUGACAACAACAACAAAAAAAAAUGUUCAUUUCGCCAAAAGGAGAAUUAGUUUACGGUUGCUAUAUUUUGUCUUCUACUAUCCUAACAGCAGGUCUUUGUCAAUUUUAAAGUGCCUUCAGAGUUGUGCAGAUGUUGUAAGCCAACUCAAGUCGUCGUGGUUCUAUUUACAGCAAACAGCAGCAAGGUUUGAAAUGCCCAAAGGGUUAUUCGCCCCCUUCAAAGAGGAGCUUUUUAGGUUACAUAUCUGCAACCUGAACCCCUCACUUGGUUGUAGAGUACGUUAUGAGAAGCCCAGUGGUCCAUGACUUUAAAAUCUGAAUAUGAACUCUGUGUACUAGGGAAUGGACUCAGCAUAGGAAUUAUUAUCAACCAACUCUUAUCAAAAGUAUUUAGGAUCCCCCUGUCGUUAUUUCAAAAAAAUAAUAUCCACUUAUGUUUCAAACUCUUGACUGUAGAAUGAUUGACAGUAUUCUAAUCUAACAUAUGUAGUAUGGUUAGUCGCUGCGGCUCAUCGAGCUGUGUCCGUUGGCCUCCUUGCUGGUGACUACAUGACGUCUGAUUCCACGACGCAUUGCUCUGUGUAUUCCUUCACUAGCUCCACUUUCAGAAUGUCGCGGCAAAAGUCGACCAUUGGCUUCCAGAGAGGCGGGUCCAGGAACAUCUGGCACAUCACGUGACCCUUCAGAGUGGCGGUGUGGCGCUGAAGAUGACACAGGAACUGCUGGCGGACCAGGUCCAGAUCUUUGCCGAACAUAUCGAUGUUCAGGUAAUACCUGGUGAAAAAAAACGUUAAUGGAAUACAGUCGAGAAUGAGAACGAAAAAGUGUACACACGCAUACCAAUCAUCUCCGAUCGGGACCUUGAAUGGGAAAGUGCAGAGGCUGCCCACGGUAGGCUUGGAGGCAUCAUCCACCAUCCAAUCAAUGUCCUUCUUCAUCAGGAUGGCCAUGUUACUGGGCAGAGGUUUGAAUGGCUGCCAGUCUUGGAUGAUGGUGGCGUUUGGAAGGACCCCCUGCAUCAGGUCAGUGGUCAAAUACAGACGAUUAAUGGUGCUGUUGUCUAGACGUACGGGAGGCCCAUUUGUGAAGAAGGUGGACAGCGGCGGCUGGAUAUGUCCACCAAGAUCAGACAAACGUAACUUGAGGUCUUCAGCUCGGAAACGCACCAACAGGAUGCCCUGUGGGAAGGAACGUUACGGUCGGAUCAAAGUCAAACGGACGUCAUUGAAGUAAGGAUGUACCGUACCUGCUUGGUUAUGAUGCGAUACUUCUGGAAGUCCUUGGGUCCAAGUUGGUCGUCACGAGUCAGGCGACUCACUUUCACCUCUGGAUAUUUGGAUUUGACGAGAUCGGAGCAAAAUCGCAGCAGGACUCCCGCCACGCCUUUGCCUCGUUCCUGGGGGGCCACACGGAGACCCUCGACCAACAUGGUCUCCCCGUCGUCAAUCACGCACACCGACUCCAAAGCGAUCUGUUAUGAAAGCUUUCAUUCCACCACCAUUCACUUUAAAAGCAUGUCGGAAUGCCACUGCAAUGAAGGAGAAGAGGGGUCGGAUGAUGCUGAAGUGCCAGAAUCGACGGUGAGGGGGGGAACACGGGACAGCUGCAAAUAUCGAGAACUGAAAAUUCCCAACAAAGCAAAAAGAAGUUUGGGAAGAAGGUGAUGGAUUGCUGUCCUCUCACCGAAGAAGAAAUGGAAGAUCUCCACACAAGAAAGAAGAAAAUGGAGGAGCAUCUCGAUCACAUCACAUGGAAACGGAUGCCUCCAAAGCCGACAUGUCACCUGCAGCCAAGCCUCGAUAUGGUCUCACUGAAAAUUGAGCACAAGACCCUAUAGCUCUCAUCCGAGGGAAACUAGAAGAAGAUCCAGGUGAGGUGGCUUGGGAAUCUGGCCUCCUGAAUGCCUCCCUGGUGAGACGAUGUGUCUCAACUGGCCUGGAAGUGCCUCAGCAGCCACCUGGAGGAGCUGGAAAAAGUAGCCGCAGAGAUGGAAUCUGGACUUCCCUGCUUAGACUGUUGCCCCUGUGAGCCGACCUCAGAUAAGCAGUUGAAGAUGUAUGGAUGGACGGACAGAUGGAUAGAUGGACAUUUCUGGGACUCUUGGUUCCUUCAUUCAUUCA